UACAGAGGGGGCAAGCGUUGUUCGGAAUUACUGGGCGUAAAGGGCGCGUAGGCGGUCACGCACGUCCGUUGUGAAAUCGCUCGGCUCAACUGGGCGGGGUCAGCGGAUACGGCGUGGCUGGAGCAAGCUAGGGGGCAAUGGAAUUCCCGGUGUAGUGGUGGAAUGCGUAGAUAUCGGGAGGAACACCAGUGGCGAAGGCGGUUGCCUGGAGCUUUGCUGACGCUGAUGCGCGAAAGCGUGGGGAGCGAUCCGG
rnacentral:rRNA from 1 species